AACGCACGAGACCUGCGGACCUGCGGAGGGAUCAUUAGUGAACGCCCUCACGGGCUUAUAACUAUUCCAAACCUCUGUGAACCGUGCCCUUCGGGGCUAUUUUACAAACAUGGUGUAAUGGACGUCAUAUAUCAUAACAAAACAAAACUUUCAGCAACGGAUCUCU
rnacentral:misc_RNA from 1 species